AGGCGGGCCUCACCCGGAAGCCCACCAGCAGCCGUGUCAUCUAUACGGCAUCCGCGGUAGUUUCUCUUCGCGAGGUGCACGGUGCAGUACGGGAGACGACUGCGUGGUACUCUUCUUCCUGCCCCACACCGCCCGCAGCCCCGCCACGGCCUCCUCCUCCCCGUCCAGGAAAUCCGCAGUCAAGGGGUUAAAGAGAGUGGAGACUCCAGUAAUAUGUAGCCACUCGGGGCUUCAACGUCACCUGAACUUUGAAGGAACUUGGUAAAGAUCACUCACCACGGCAUCACUCUGACACUUGGCACUAUUAAAGAUAGUGUAAAGUUGGCCGGGAGAAAAAUUAACGGCGUGGAAGGUAAUUUCGGUGAGCUGAGGUCAUGUGCGGGAGGAGUUACUGAGCCUCAUACACCACGCCUUACACGACCCGCCUCGCCAGGGCAGCAGAGGCGCCACAGGAUUGGGCCGGGACGGGUCGGGCUGUUUUGGGCCGUCCGUCCCUGCAUGUUCACCCACCUCCCCACUCCGCUAUAAAAGAAUGUAUGCCAGAGAUUAUAAAAUGAGCGUGAGGAUGUUAAAGGAAGGAAUUUGAGGACAUAAUGGGCAAUAUUUUUAAACAUAUUGGCGUCCUAGCACACAUAUUCGACAAGACUUUCAUAAGAGUUGCAGGCAUUUCCAUGAGUAGUUUUAUGACCUUGGUGAUAGUGUGACCCUUCAACUGUACCAUGAUCCUAAAACAAAGUACUCAUUAAUUUAAAACGACUGACCU